rnacentral:rRNA from 2 species
UACCUGGUAGUCCACGCUGUAAACGAUGUCGACUUGGAGGUUGUGCCCUUGAGGCGUGGCUUCCGGAGCUAACGCGUUAAGUCGACCGCCUGGGGAGUACGGCCGCAAGGUUAAAACUCAAAUGAAUUGACGGGGGCCCGCACAAGCGGUGGAGCAUGUGGUUUAAUUCGAUGCAACGCGAAGAACCUUACCUACUCUUGACAUCCACGGAAUUCGCCAGAGAUGGCUUAGUGCCUUCGGGAACCGUGAGACAGGUGCUGCAUGGCUGUCGUCAGCUCGUGUUGUGAAAUGUUGGGUUAAGUCCCGCAACGAGCGCAACCCUUAUCCUUUGUUGCCAGCACGUAAUGGUGGGAACUCAAAGGAGACUGCCGGUGAUAAACCGGAGGAAGGUGGGGAUGACGUCAAGUCAUCAUGGCCCUUACGAGUAGGGCUACACACGUGCUACAAUGGCAUAUACAAAGAGAAGCGAACUCGCGAGAGCAAGCGGACCUCAUAAAGUAUGUCGUAGUCCGGAUUGGAGUCUGCAACUCGACUCCAUGAAGUCGGAAUCGCUAGUAAUCGUAGAUCAGAAUGCUACGGUGAAUACGUUCCCGGGCCUUGUACACACCGCCCGUCACACCAUGGGAGUGGGUUGCAAAAGAAGUAGGUAGCUUAAC